rnacentral:rRNA from 1 species
AUGCACGCUGGCGGCGUGCCUAAUACAUGCCAGUCGAGCGAACAGACGAGGAGCUUGCUCCUCUGACGUUAGCGGCGGACGGGUGAGUAACACGUGGAUAACCUACCUAUAAGACUGGGAUAACUUCGGGAAACCGGAGCUAAUACCGGAUAAUAUAUUGAACCGCAUGGUUCAAUAGUGAAAGACGGUUUUGCUGUCACUUAUAGAUGGAUCCGCGCCGCAUUAGCUAGUUGGUAAGGUAACGGCUUACCAAGGCAACGAUGCGUAGCCGACCUGAGGGUGAUCGGCCACACUGGAACUGAGACACGGUCCAGACUCCUACGGGAGGCAGCAGUAGGGAAUCUUCCGCAAUGGGCGAAAGCCUGACGGAGCAACGCCGCGUGAGUGAUGAAGGUCUUCGGAUCGUAAAACUCUGCUAUUAGGGAAGAACAAAUGUGUAAGUAACUAUGCACGUCUUGACGGUACCUAAUCAGAAAGCCACGGCUAACUACGUG